rnacentral:rRNA from 1 species
AUGGAGCGGAUGGCUAAUUAUUACUUUAAGGAGGUUUUUACAAAGGACCCGACCUUGGAUCAGGAAGAAGUACUGGACAUCAUCGCGCCUAAGGUGUCCGCGGAGAUGAAUGAGGCCUUGUGCCAAGAUUACACAGAGGAGGAGAUAUCCAACGCGCUGUUCCAGAUCGGUCCAUUGAAAGCACCCGGAUGUGAUGGUUUUCCGGCCAGGUUUUAUCAACGGAAUUGGGCGGUUCUUAAGGAUGAGAUAGUGGCAGCUGUACAGGAAUUUUUUACCACUGGUGUCAUGCCGGAGGGGGUUAAUGACACGUCCAUUGUGCUUAUUCCUAAAGUGCCACAUCCAAGAGAACUGAAGGAUUUCCGGCCCAUUAGUUUGUGCAAUGUGGUGUAUAAGAUCGUUUCAAAGUGCAUGGUAAAUCGGCUACGACCUCUCUUAACUGAGCUUAUUUCUGAAAAUCAGAGUGCCUUCGUCCCUGGGAGGCUUAUCUCUGAUAACUCCAUCAUUGCGUUCGAGUGCAUCCACCACAUUCAGACCGCCAAAGCAAACUCCCCAACUUUGUGUUCUUAUAAACUGGAUUUGUCGAAGGCUUAUGACCGUGUGGAUUGGAGCUUCCUGGAGAGGGCGCUGUCUAAGUGGGGAUUUUCUAAUCAAUGGAUUUCCGCGUGA